GACGAACGCUGGCGGCGUGCUUAACACAUGCCAGUCGAGCGGUAAGGCCUCUUCGGGGGUACACGAGCGGCGAACGGGUGAGUAACACGUGGGUGACCUGCCCUCAGCUCUGGGAUAAGCCUGGGAAACUGGGUCUAAUACCGGAUAUGACCUUUCCUCGCAUGGGGUUUGGUGGAAAGUUUUUUCGGCUGGGGAUGGGCCCGCGGCCUAUCAGCUUGUUGGUGGGGUGAUGGCCUACCAAGGCGACGACGGGUAGCCGGCCUGAGAGGGCGACCGGCCACACUGGGACUGAGACACGGCCCAGACUCCUACGGGAGGCAGCAGUGGGGAAUAGUGCGCAAUGGGCGGAAGCCUGACGCAGCGACGCCGCGUGGGGGAUGACGGCCUUCGGGUUGUAAACCUCUUUCGACCCCGACGAAUUUGGACGGUAGGGGUAGAAGAAGCACCGGCCAACUACGUG
rnacentral:rRNA from 1 species